UACGAAGGGGGCUAGCGUUGCUCGGAAUCACUGGGCGUAAAGCGCACGUAGGCGGCUUGUUAAGUCAGGGGUGAAAUCCUGGAGCUCAACUCCAGAACUGCCUUUGAUACUGGCGAGCUUGAGUUCGGGAGAGGUGAGUGGAACUGCGAGUGUAGAGGUGAAAUUCGUAGAUAUUCGCAAGAACACCAGUGGCGAAGGCGGCUCACUGGCCCGAUACUGACGCUGAGGUGUGAAAGCGUGGGGAGCAACAGGG
rnacentral:rRNA from 1 species